CGGGAAUUGAUACGUGUCAUAUAGCGACUUAAGCAGGUCGGCAAAACGGAAAUAUCGAAUAACUGAUAACGUUCGAAGGGUUUGACUGAAGGAAAGAAAGAGAAAAAAUUGGUCUAAAUAAGAAUUAUCAAGAUAUACAACUCAUGGAAGAAGACAAAUUUCAUUUGUUUAACGUCGUACACGUGAGGUAACAACACGUGACUGGUCGAUUAAGUCACAGCUUUGAUCGGUUGAAAUGAACAGGACAAUGGCCACGAUCGUCGUAACAAUAUGAAUAACCAUGUUCCCACAUGAUAUUUGCUUGGAAAUGUGCCAAACAAACCACCCACUACAGUCUACAAGAGAUACAAGUGUGGGUAUAAAACACUCACCUUAAACCAAUGUCGAUGUCCUACAUUAUGCUCGGGUUGAUUUGCCAACACGUAAUGCCAGCUUUUAUGCUCAGCUAAAAUUCAGAAAACUAUUUAGGUUCAGUUAACUGCUCACUACUGUUGAUGUAACGCGAUGAAUUCACAAUAUGCAAGCAGACGACUUUUCAUGUAGAGAAUUUAGAGCGCUCUUAGCGGAGCGAAUGUUUUCAACAUUUUUAACACGGAAAGAAUUUCAUAAAAGCAAUUACCUAUCCUCAUUAUUGUAAUUCUAUGAUGAAAGAAAUAUAACAAGUCCAAAUACUAAAAGAAUAAUAAUACCUUUAGAUCAAAGGUGUGAAAAGGUAAUCUUCUUGAGAAAAAAAAAAAAUGGGGA
rnacentral:lncRNA from 1 species